UCCUGCCCGGGCCUGAACCAGACCGCGCCGCCGCCCGCAGCUCCCCUCGCGCCCGCAAGCCGCCUCUCCGGCGACCCCAUACCUCCGCCACGCCCCGCCGCCGGCGAACUUCCAUGCUGGACCUCCGGCUGCUCCUCCACCUCGCCCCUCUCCCUUCUCCUUCUUCUUCUCGAUCUCCUCUCACCUCUCUCACUCUUGCUAGAAAGGGACCUCCAUGGCGCCGCCGGCCCACAAUCUCACCGGAACCGGCCGCCUCCAUGCCAAAUCCGCUGGAAAUGGAUCCACCCCGGCCAGAUCCGCCCGGAUCCGACCGGGCCCCGCCGCCGUCGCCACCGGAGCGCCGCCCCGCUCGACCUGGAACGCUACCUUCCACCGGCAGCCCUGGUACAGGCAACAAGAACUGGCUGAAGGAGAUCAAUCGAUGGGGGCGGACGGCCGCGACGACGACGGGCCUCUUCCUGCCCCAUAUAUACGUAUAUAUAAGUUUAUUAGGGGUAAAUAUACGUACAAGUGAAGAGCCAAAUAGGAUAUGAAAGAUUGAGCUUCUGUGUGUACUGAGAGCUAAGUUGCAACUCAAAUAUAUAUACUGUGAAUUUCCCAACUGAGGAUUCCAUUUAUUAUGUUGGUAGAAUGUUACUGCUCUUCUUUUAUGUAGCUAUAUUGCCCUGAAGUAGGUUCAUAUUUAGUGAAAGAAAAUCCCAGGCUUCAGACAGAUUAUAGUUGUAGGCUCCGUAUUAUUUUUCCGAUUUUAAAAACAGAAAGCAUAUGGAAUUUUGCUCUAUCAGGUAGCCAUUUUGUUGUUCAAUCCAUCCAUAGCUACAUUUUAAGAUAUAUUAUUGAAUUUCCUUAUUAUGUGAGUACAAGUCUGAACUUUUAGGACAUCCGGCACAUGAGUUUGAACCAACCAGUGCUACCAAUUUUUGGGUCACUACAUCAUGCAAUACUACGGAUUCUGUUCAACAUGGCAAACUUGGAUUUUUUAUUCUUUUUUCAGAUUAGAAUCACCUUAGCAAUGCCAUAUAGAUAAUACAAGAUGUGGCAAAGUGUUGUAUUCAAUAGAGAUUACAGUGAUAAAUUGGUGAAAUUAGUUUCCUCUCUGAUCUCUGUUAGCUUUAACUCGCUAGGAAGCCAUGUAGUCCUAUUUUUAGUACUAGGAGGAGAACAUAUAUUAAAUUUAUGCCAUCCGCUGAAUUGAUCUCUGUUGUGCUGGGGCAAACUAAACCAGAGCAAGCACUUACUCAAGGCAAGGAGCAGUGCUAGUACUUGCUCAUGGUUGAGGUAGAUUCAGGUUAAGUUUUAUGUGUUGAUUCCCUUCUCUUGCACAUGUCUAAGUCUUUGUGCCUGAUCAAGCUGUUCUUUGACAAGUAUUAUCUUUGAGUGAUGCCAUGUUGGUAAUAAAAUACUAUAUAACUCACAUUUCUUAUAUGUUCCUUUUUCAUUUCUGUUCUUUCAUUUGAAAGCUCAUAUGGUCAAUUUUGGAGGCAACUACAUGUAUAUACUGUUGAUGUUACAUGUAAACAAAUUUGAUGCUUUCAUGCAUAUGACCGUGCACAUCAUCAAACCCUUUCGAUUCUAUUGCAAGGUCAAAUAGUUUUUCGUGUUCUAACUCUCUGGGAUAAUCUGCGGUUAUUUGGUUCAUCGUCGUGCCUCAAGUCAAGUUUCUAAUAGCGCUGUGGCUGUACACCGUCGACUUCGCCGGAAAUCCGUCUACACAUACUCUACUGUCCGCCGAAACUUCGUCUGACCUGAGGUACAUACUACAGUGUCAUCGAUUUGUAUCUGUCAUCAACUACUUACUUCUUAAGUAUGUAUGUCGUCAAUUAUACUACUUAUUAAAAGGGAGAAAGAGAGGAUAUGUUAGAUCUAGAUGAAACAAUAGCCCUGUGAAAGAGAGGAUUCUGCUUUAUAUGUGAGUAUCUUGGGGCAUGCUUGUUUCUGUAUAAAAUGCAGAGGUCAUGAACGGCAACUGAUCUUGGAUUUGAGUUUCUUUUAAUCUUUAAAUGAUGUACUGGGCCAGCAAAUUCAGUUAUUUGGUUUUGUAACUUGUGGAGAAAAAAGAGAUAGGUGAGGUAGAGAGAGAGCAGAGAGAGAUGUGCACAUCGCCGAACCCUUUCGAUUCUAUUGCAAGGUCAAAUAGUUUUUCGUGUUCUAACUCUUUGGGAUAAUCUGUAGUUAUUUUGCUCAUCAUUGCGCCUCAAGUUUCCGACAGCGCCAUGGCUGUACACCGUCUGACUUCGCCAGAAAUCUGUCUGCACAUACUCUACUAUCUGCUGAAACUUCGUCUGACCUGAGGUACAUACUAAAGUGUCAUCGAUUUCAUCAACUACUUCUUAAGUCUGUAUGUCAUCAACUAUACUACUUAUUAAAAGGGAUAAAGAGAGGAUAUGUUAGAACUAGAUGAAACAAUAGCCCUGUGAAAGAGAGGUUUCUGCUUUCUAUGUGAGUAUCUUGGUGCAUGCUUGUUUCUGAAUAAAAUGUAGAGGUCGUGAACAAAUUAAAACAUGCUCUAUGAUGGGCAAGGGUAGGUUUAUUUUCAGUUAAAGUAGUAUCAGUUGUAUACUUAUAUAUACGCCAUUUGAAAAAUAGUAUGUAUAUGCUCCUUGCAAACUACUACGUAUUAUUUAAAUGUUUUACAUAAGACUGUCCAUCCAAAUACAAUAACUAAUUAGUAUUUUAAUAACUUGAAUUGCACGGCUUGAUCGCUCUGCUUGGGUCUUCUCUUAUGUAUGAGUGCACCAUGUGCGGGUUAAAUAAGUCUUCUAACUGUCUUGGCUAAUUUGCCUUCUGUUUUGAUUUGAGCUGAUGGGGAUGAGAUGUGACCCCGCUGCUGGGCGUCGCAAAUGCCACUGCUCCAAUGUGUGCCCCAGCUUCGGUGAUGCACGGGCGAGGCAACACGAUUUGGUACAAUGGCCCUCCUUCCAAGAAAUCAAGUUUUUUCGUUCAGAUUUUAGAGUUCUUGAGUUUCAGCUUAGUUCAAGGAUAGAAAAGCAUACUCCUUAUGGAUUCAAUGAGGAAGACCAUUAGCCGCCACCUUUUCAGAAUUGGAUGGUGUGGUGUACCUUCAUCCUGCUGUCUAAUUUCUUAGCUUAUUUGCUUUAACUGUACUACAGUAUAUAGCAGGAUAAGGAUCCAAUCUUGUGAAGCCUCUCCAUUUGCACCAUCGUCAAAAGUUGCACAUGAGUUGAUUCACACUUUCAGAGUUCAUAGAACACCUAGAGUUAAUCAGCCUGAAGGUAUAUCAGAUCCUAUGGAAAGGGGACCCGGUUCAGAUUUGUCACUACUCUGUGUUGUUGGAUAGCCAUGGUAUGUGUUAGUUUUGUUUUACCACAGUUUGAUUCUUGGUAGUUAGGAUAUCAGGUGUAUACAUUACUUUUCUUAUGAAUUUUUUCUCUUUUAGUGCACUAUCUAUCUAUCUAAUCUCUCUAUCAAAGUUUUCAAAGAAAUUGAUGGCGGUGGCUCAGAGGCGUCAUGGUGAAUGGCGAAGCUUCUAAAAUGGACGGAAGAGAGGUGGUGACUCGCGGCUGGGGAGUACAUAUUGAGGAAUACGAUUCAUAAGGUUUCAUAUUAACAAAAAAUGAUGAUCUUUGUAAAGUAAUCUGAACAUUUUGUUGAUUCCGGGACAAUUUUAUUCUCCAAUAUGAAUCCGUAAGAAAAUAUAUGACAAUACAUUUGUGCAAACUGAUAAUGUAAGCUCAUCUCGAAACUUUAUUCUUUUUCUAAGAUUGAUUUACUUGGUGGUGCUAACUUCCAUUCUAUCAAAGCAGGACAUGUGUGCUAUUUCUGAAAAAAGAAGCUUUUCUGUUGGCUGGCAUCCCUGAUGGUGCCUUUAGAUAUUUAGGAAAAGAAAUGGUAUCUCAUAAUUCACUGGAUGUAGACCAGUAGGGUCAAUCACAAAUUGUUGGCUGUAAAUGAAUUUCUGUUUCUAGCUUUCAUAAAAUUUAGACAAGUACUGUUUAACAGUAUGUUGUGGUUGAUGGUGGUCCUAUGUGCUGGUUCAAAUUAUCAUGUUGGAUAAUAUUGUUUUUACUAGCAGUUGUAGGGCUCUUAUUAUUAUUUUCCACAAAUAUCAUCAUGUUUUGCUAUUGAUGUAAUGCUAUAUUCCUUGACUGAAAUCAAACCCUUUAGUUGCUA